rnacentral:rRNA from 1 species
UCCGACGGCGUGACAUGGGCCGGGGUAAUACGGCAGGUGAGGGCGUUGGCCGGAAUUACGGGUCGUAGAGGGGUCGUAGGUGGUUGGUCGCGUUGUUCGUGAAAACUCCCAGCUUGACGGUGGGCGUGCGGGCGAUACGGGCAGACUGGAGUACUGCAGGGGAGACUGGAAUUCCUGGUGUAGCGGUGGAAUGCGCAGAUAUCAGGAGGAACACCGGUGGCGAAGGCGGGUCUCUGGGCAGUAACUGACGCUGAGGAGCGAAAGCGUGGGGAGCGAACAGGAUUAGAUACCCUUGUAGUC